rnacentral:rRNA from 1 species
GUUCGCGCCGUUGGGAGUCGUUGCGGGUCGUUGGCCCUGCCGGCGAGGUCCCCGCCUGAUGGCGGGGCUCCACCUUGCUCGUGCAGCCCUCCGUCGCGUUUGGGCGGGUGUCCUUAACUGGAUGCCUGUUUUUUAAACGUGGCCCGUUUACCUUGAACAAAUCGGAGUGCUCAAAGCAGGCUCUACGUCGCUCGAACGGUAGCGCAUGGAAUAAUGGAAGAGGACCGGCUUCCGCUUCUGUUGGUCUCACGGAGGCAGGUAAUGAUCAAGAGGGACGGACGGGGGCAGAGGUAUGUCUUGGCGAGAGGUGAAAUUCUUGGACCCUAGACAGACCCUCGAGAGCGAAAGCAUCUGCCAAGGAUGUUUCCAUUGAUCAAGAACGAAAGUCGCGGGAUCGAACGGGAUUAGAUACCCCGGUAGUCGCGACCGUAAACGAUGCCAACCGGGAAUUUGGCGGCGUUACUUCCAUGACCCGUCAAGCGCCCGACCCGGGAAACCGAGAGUCUUUGGGUUCCGGGGGGAGUAUGGUUGCAAAGCUGAAACUUAAAGGAAUUGACGGAAGGGCACCACCAGGAGUGGAGCCUGCGGCUUAAUUUGACUCAACACGGGGAACCUCACCCGGCCCGGACACCGCGAGGAUUGACAGACUGAGAGCUCUUUCUCGAUUCGGUGGGUGGUGGUGCAUGGCCGUUCUUAGUUGGUGGAGCGAUCUGUCUGGUUAAUUCCGAUAACGAACGAGACCCCAACCUGCUAACUAGCCCUCGGGUCCGGCUUCUGGCGGGCCCGACGGAAUGAUUCGCUUCUUAGAGGGACUCGCGGCGCCUAGCCGCACGAAGGGGGGCGAUAACAGGUCUGUGAUGCCCUUAGAUGUUCGGGGCUGCACGCGCGCUACACUGAAGGCAUCAGCGUGCGCUUAGUCCGUUCCCUGCCUGAAAAGGCUGGGU